rnacentral:tRNA from 1 species
UCGGAAGUAGUUUAAAUGUAAAAAUGUUAAAUUGUCAAUUUAAAGAUGUCUACGGGUCUUUCGUU